CGUCAAAACAAAGCUAACGUCAUCAAAGACCGCCGGAAGUAGCUUUGCUCUAUACAUGUGAUUUGUAUUUGUCAGAAGAGGUGAGUGAGGAAUAAUGUGUGAAAUAAACGAAGAUUUCCAUGACAGACUGGAGUGCGUGCAGGACGUAGAAGGUGGUUUGAAGAAGUGCGUGAAAUGCAAAGAGGCCAACGCAUCUGUGGUCAUCAAAGGGGGAGAUGCACACUGCAGGGCCUGUUUCAAGGAAAACUUCACUCACAAGUUCAGAGCCACACUGGGCAAAAACAGAGUCAUUUUCCCUGGAGAGAAGGUCCUGCUGGCUGUAUCCGGAGGACCUUCAUCCUGUUCGAUGCUUCGUCAAGUCCAAGAGGGCCUGAGUCAAAAUGCUCACAAGAAGCUGAGAUUCCUUCCCGGCAUCGUUUACAUUGAUGAGGGUGGCGCUGUGUUUCGGUCUUCGGAGGAGAGACAGAAGACGGUUGCUCAGUUACAGGCCAUUUUCAAGGCGACCGGUUACCCUUUCCACAUAGUUCCACUGGAACAGGUUCUGGACCUCCCCAGUUCGACCAUCUUGACGGCCCCGUCAGCCUCUCAGCCAGCUCAUACCGGCGCUUACAAGACCGCUGUGGACCAGUUCAUUCAGCAUGAAAUCAGUUCCUCCGCCGCCCGGGAGGUCCAGGAGGAGACGGAUGUGUACGAGUCUCAGGAACCACACACACAGGCUCUGCAAAAGCUGAUUGGCUCGGCGAAGACGCUUACAGCGAAGCAGGACCUGGUUAAUACUUUAAGGCAGCAUGUUCUGGUGCACACAGCUCGCUCGAAAGGCUACAGUAAAGUGAUGCUGGGAGACAGCUGCACCAGGCUGGCAGUGAAACUACUCUCUAACAUCUCCACGGGCCGAGGAGCACACCUGGCCCAAGACACGGGUUUCUCGGACACCAGACACGGUGACGUUAUUUUAGUCAGGCCAAUGAGGGACUACUCUGCCAAAGAAAUCGCUUACUACAAUCACGUGUUCGCUGUACCGUCUGUCUUCAUACCAGGCCUGGACACCAAGAACGCAGACAAGGCCAGUAUCCAUCGUCUGACCGAGAGCUUUGUCAAUAAACUGCAGGCAGACUUUCCUUCCACUGUCAGCACCAUCUACAGGACAAGUGAGAAGCUGCAGACAGUGUGUGGGAGCUCGUCCACUGCUGACCCCUGUGACCGCUGUCUUCUUUGUGUAUGUGCUUUGGACACUGCUGAUGACGGUGUUUCGGCUUUACAGGCGACCCUAACCUCAGAGAAACUGUCAAAGUUUCGUGGGAACACUCGACCUGGAAUGCCUGUACUAAUCUCAGGAGAGCUUCGUCAAUCUGCACCCACUGUACGUGACUGUCGCUCAGGAGAAGGAGAGAAUUGUGGUCAAGCACAAGUUGGUGGAAGCUGCUGUUCUUCUGACAUGAAACCAGAAAAAACAGACCUGAAGAGCACGUUGUGUUACAGCUGUCAGCUGAUCGUCAAAGACCUGUCCUCAGUGGAGUGUCUCCCCCAGUACAUCCUGUCAGAGGCUAUGAGGAGGCAAAGGAGGUCUCUGAUGAGAAAGGAAAUCACUUUUGCCCCUGUAUCGAACGUUGGACAAGAGAAGACACUUGUGACUGUGCCAGGCUCCGAACUUUGGGCUGUCGAUCAGACGUCACACUAGGAGUAAAACCGCGACGUAUCCUCCUUUUCUACACGUCAUCACCGCUGGAGAGAUUGUGACACUUGCUGCAACUUUGACGUGGAAAGGUACAUGAUGACUGAGGUAUGUUCUCAGCAGUGGGGUGAGGUACCUGGCCUAGGAAAAGUGGACCUCUGGGUGCUUAAGUCUCCGUUGAUACGCGUGGAAAUACUUACUCUGGGAGCCAUCAUAAAGUCUGUUUACAGCAAGGGCAGUGAUGGACAAAUACAAGAUGUGGUCCUGGGCUAUGACGACUUGAACGGUAGGAGGAAGUACAAGUGUGAUACUAGGAAAAAG